rnacentral:rRNA from 1 species
GACGAACGCUGGCGGCGUGCUUAACACAUGCAAGUCGAACGAUGAAGCCCUUCGGGGUGGAUUAGUGGCGAACGGGUGAGUAACACGUGGGCAAUCUGCCCUUCACUCUGGGACAAGCCCUGGAAACGGGGUCUAAUACCGGAUAACACUCCUCAGGGCAUCUUGAGGGGUUAAAAGCUCCGGCGGUGAAGGAUGAGCCCGCGGCCUAUCAGCUUGUUGGUGGGGUGAUGGCCU